rnacentral:rRNA from 1 species
GUCUACAACCAUAGCACCCUGAAUGUGUCUGAUCUCGUCUGAUCUCAGAAACUAAGCAGGGUUCCAACACAGGAUCCAACCAUUUUGGAGC